GGUCGCGCGCAACCGCAUGCAUAGCACAUCCUGCAUCGAGAAUUAAAACCAUUCAGCUGCGCAUCAAGGGCGAGCGCUCACGAUGUCCACGUCGGCAAUGGUACGAGACAAAAAGGUUUCCUUCGUCGAGAAGAAAGAGAGAAAGAGAUUGGCCAGCGGCGCAGCCCCCAGUCCCCAUCCCGAUUCCUCUCCCUCUCCCUUUCCCUCGUCUGCCGCCGCCAGCACCACCACCGCCCUCCCCGCAGCCGCCGCCACCGCCGGCGCCCGGGUGUGGCGCUGCUCUUCCCCACGGUCCUGAUGGCAAGGCGGCGACAAGAGUUAGAAGGCGGACGCGGACGGCCCCGUCAGCUCUCGUCCCGAUGAAGUCAAGGACGAGCUCCACCCGGACGAGGUCGAUCCGCCCCCCUGCCACACUUCUCCAUCGCGUCACCAUAUUCGGAGGAGCCGCGACUGCUGCUCGCGCAUCUGCUCCUCCUGGAGUUGUCGCCAUCGGCAGGAGGAGUGCCGGACCGCGCGCCAACUCGAGGACCGCCGCUCCGGCGGCCCGUUGUUUCUGGCCGCCGUCCGCCUCUGGUGCCCCAUCCAUUCGCCACCAGUCACGCACCAGGUAGGAACUCAAGCUCCCUGCCUCUACAUGUUCCCAGUUAUACCUGCGUUGCAUAUUUGAAGAGAUCUAAGGUUCAUGAUUGGAUGACUUAUUACUAUAUUUGUAACCAUUCUGAAGAUUUAAUUGGCUAUUGCAGUAUGCAGAACACUUGGUUCAUUCCAUGGCAAGAAAAUGGUGGAAUGUUGUUAUAAAAGGUCGCCUCCUGCUUGUGACCGCGCCAUGCCGCCUCACCCCGGCGCCUUCCAGCCGAGAAUGCCAUCUCCACCCGACCAGGUUCACCUCUCUCUCUCGCUCUCUCUCUCUCUCUCUCUCUCGCUCUCUCGCUCUCUCUCGCUCGCUCUCUCUCUCUCGCUCGCUCUCUCUCUCUCUCUCUCUCUCUCUCUCGCUCUCUCUCUCGCUCUCUCUCGCUCGCUCUCUCUCUCUCUCUCUCUCUCUCUCUCUCUCUCUCAUGAACACAUCAUUUUAUUCAAACUGGAUGCUAGAGGUAUGUGAUGAUGCAGCAAAUUAUGUGUGUGUGCUUGCGGGUAACUCAGCCGCUUGGCCUUUUCAUGAUUUAAAACAAAAUGGUGUGCUGAAGAGAGACACCUUACUUUGGAUAGAGAGUAAAAUGGAAUCUGCUUGGACUAUGUUUUCCCAUACAGGUUUGAUUCGUAUAUACAUCUCAAGUUGGCUAUAUCUGGAUGGGUUGCAGUUUGCUUCUUUCAAAAAGACGAGGUGUUCUGGAAUGAUUUGCUUAUCUGCUUUAUGCAUGAUCAUCCAUUUUAUAGAUUAUAUAGGAUGUUGGUAUCUUUCUGUACACUGGCAUGAUCUCUAAAACAAGUCCCAGGCCAUAGAUAGGAUUGUCAUCAUGUAUGUUAUUUAGUUAUAUAGAAAAACGAAGCACAUAACUGCACAACACAGAACAGUACUGCUUCUGAACUGAUGUUGCCAUUGAUAAGGUUACUAAUGUUUGUUGGUGUCGGCUCUAGGGUGUAUAGUUUACACUCUAUGAAUCAUGUCAAGGUUCCGUAAAAAUCGGUUAUGUGUUUCAACAUUUUACAAUGUUAGUCGUUUAUCUAUUAUGUUCUAAUCCCUCUGUUCCUAAAUAUAAGUCCAUUUAGAGAUUUCAAUAUGGACUAUAUACGGAGCAAAAUGGAUGAAUCUACACUCCAAAAUAAGUCUAUAUACAUCCGUAUGUAGUGUGUAUUGAAAUCUCUAAAAAGACCUAUAUUUAGAAACGGAGGGAGUAAUUUGUAUCUGUGGGUUUCUCAAAAUAAUUGUAUGUACUGGGAGAGGAGGUUUCCAUGACUAUUGAUCAUCGAUCAGUUAGAACUUCUGCUGAAGAAAGGUGCCCUUUGGUUAACAUUUCUGAUAUAUAACAUACGACGUUGGAAUUUCCAUUGAAUUUUUUAUGGAAAGUACAUCAAUAGAAUGGCCUUUCUUCCGGUGGCCACUCCCUCCCGCCUUUCUGUUGCGUAUAUUCAUUUUGGAUAUUGACCACGGUUGCAUAAAUUUAAGUUGCUUGUGAUCUUCUAUCUAUUUCCUGUUAAUUAUAAAUAAUCAGAACCAUCUCUGGUCAGUACACCAUAGCACAAUACCACACGGAUGCUUGGUAGUGCUUUUCAUAAAUUGGUAGUUUUUGCUUCGGUGGAGAGCUUUUGACGAAUUACUGGGUAUGCAAAUCUUGGUUUGAUCCUUCUACUAAUUUAUACUCUAAUGACAUGGAAGUCGAUGGCGUGAAAUGCCUAGCUGUUGACAUCCCCCCUCAGAGUUUUCUAGAGAGGUGAGCAAUUUAUAAUAACAAAAACAUAAACUAUUUUUGUUGUGGUUCCAGUUUGUUGUAAUGAGAUGGCUCUUGUUCCAUUGAACUCAAACUCUGUUACAAGAGUCCCCUUGCAUAAAUUUUUGAAGGAAGAGUGAAUUUCGUCCUGAACUUGACUGAACCAAACUUCCGAUCAUGUCAUUCCACUCCUUUCAUUGAUGCUAUUUGAAGGUUUUGUGUCGAGUCAUUGACAUGUAAUGUUUUAGACAUAAUGGAUGAAAUCAUGUUAAUUCUAGCUCUGGUUCUUAUGUAGUGCUAUGCAUGCCGCUGACCUUUACGUUUUCCAUUAUUUUGCAGAGAAUGUGUACAUGCAAAUUUUAUUCAUAGUGAACCUACGUGGUAGUUUUUGUUCUGAAUAUAUGUGUUCUACUCUGCUUGCAGAGAGCAUUGGCAUUUCUAUGUCUAUUUUCCUGUGCUAUGCAGGGGUGCGGUUACAGUUUGGUGCUCUUCCACUUUGAAUCACCAUUGCUUCUUUUGCUCCUGAUUCCAUGGCAGUUUAUGGGCCAGGACUUCUGCUCUACCGUGCAGGCGAUGGUAAGGAAAACACAACAGCAGAAAACAAAGAUGCCAUGGCACGCAAGUAGGUUUUCUUUUGCUGAGUUGGCUGCCUGCUGAGGUGGUGGUUGCAUGUGCUGGUGUGGCAUGUGUGGGACAUGUAUGAUGAGGUGGAUAGGCUGCAUGUCAAGAGAAAUGGGAUAGUGGGGAUGAACUAUUUAGGUAUUAUAGAUGUGAAUGCAUUUGCUUUCAUCUACUCACAUAUUUCAUUGGAUUUUUAUCUGGAUAUAUGCUAGCUAUUUAUUAGGAGUUCAUAUGUUCGUCAUUGUAUAAAAACCAUUCUUAUAGUACUACCAUAUAUUAGUAUAGCUCGGGCACCUUCGAAGAAAAUGGGGAUGCAAGUAUCUUUCCUGCUUCUGCUUAUGGUCAGAAAUCUUUAGAGUGCACUAUCUUUUCUCUUUCUAAUCACUAAUUGUAUGAUUUUUUUAUGCUUACAGUGAUGCAGCUUGAUGUUUUAUUGUUGUCUUUCGAGGAAAAGGGGGAUGCCACCAUCUUUCUUUCUUCUGAUCAUCUAUCUCUCACUCUCUCUCUCCCUCCCUCCCUGUGUGUGUGUGUGUGUGGAAGUGAAAGUGCAUAGCCUACAAUUGGCGCUUUCUACAGUAGGCACCCUGUUACCAGUGGAAAAUAAUAUGCAUUUAGUGUUUUUCCUUGAGUGAUAAUGAAGUUGGCUACUCUCUCUUUGGAAACAUAUUCCCUGUUUUCUGUGUUUCCUUCCAUUUGGUUUCAUCCUUUUAAAUGAAAAUUUCUUUUAAAAACAAUAGUUACUAGAGAUAACAAUCACGAGGAUAAACAAUAUGUCACCUGACAUUGAUGUUCAUUGGGGAGAGCCAUUGGUUAUUGAAAGCUACAAUCUUAGUUGAGCUAUCUUUUGGCUGAAAAAAUAUAGGUCUCGCAUCAUUGGCUCUACUAGAACAAACUUCUUAGUGUUUUGGAUUCUGAUUAUUUAUUUAUAUGGAUUGGUUUAUGUGUUGUGCUGAUGAGGACUCUUUGAUCAUCUAAUUGAUUUGUGUUGUUGAGUCAUAAAAAUUUGAAGCAGUGAAGUGACAUGACUAAGUAAUUUUAUGCGCUAUGCUUUCGAGGUCCGGCUCAUAGGACAAGCCAUAAUCUGGAAACAGAAUGUUCUGCAAAUGCAGAGUAUCAGAUAUUGGUGUUCUAUUGUUCUAUUCAUGACCCUGCACAUGAUUACAAGUAUGUUGAUAUAUCCUUGAGCAAAUAUUGCAACACCCAAGAAAAUCGGAUGGCAGGCGUCUCUGGAGAGAUGUCUAUCUAAUAGUCUACUAUACGUAUAGUUUAGUGCUAUGUUGUGUAAAAAUAGUAAAUAAAUUAUCCAGAAGCGCCACAGUGUAAAUAAACUAUCCAGAAUAUUGCCAUGGUAUGGAUUGACGACCGCAGGGCAUGCUUCUUCCAUGUGCUGGAGAGCGGGAGGACGCAGAGCAGGGCCAACCCAAGCUGGAUGUCGAGGCGGAGGAGAGGUCCGUCGAGAGCAGUGGCAUGGUGGGGUUUGGCAAGGUCAAUAAGGUGACCCGCAGGGCUUGUCAAGAUGGUGAGACAUGGCCGCUGGAGCAGAGCACAUCUUCGGAAGGAUGAACAUGCAUGGUGACGGCAUGCACCUUGUUGCCGCCUCAAUGUCCUUACAUCAGGCCAGUUCAUGCUUCCGAAUUUGUGGUUUUGAUCAGUGGCAAGCAUGUACAUAGCUGUAGCAGAAUUCAUUAGACACGGUUACCAGUUUGUGGAUAGGUUGCAAUAUCUUUUAUGGUAUCAAUAUAUUUGAUGUUCCGUUUC